rnacentral:lncRNA from 10 species
GUCUUGCUCUAUUGCACAGGAGUGCAGUGGUACAAUCAUGGCUGUCUGCGGCCUCAAUCUCCCUGGCUUAAGCAAUCCUCCUGCCUCAGCCUCCCAAAGUAGCUGGGACUACAGGAAAAGUGUCAGGCCCAUUGAAGUUACCACGUGCCAUGGCUGUGAGUGCCUUCACUACUUGGAGUAGGCUCAUCAGUAGACAACCCUCCCAGAGCUCUACGUGCAGCCGGCAUCUGCGCGGUCUGUUAGGGUAAGUGCAGUUCAGGAUCAAUUAUGGAUGAGGCUCCACAGCAGAUGAGUAAGUGGGCUGUUGUCUACUUUGAAAAAUUAAUGGGAUCUGAUUAAUACGGGAGAACAGUCCCUCUCUUCCUCAACCCAGAGAGGCUCAGAUCUCUGUGGAAGCUUGAGGGUUUGGCGGUUGGGGAGGAGGGAGCUCCUGUGUCUGUGGGUGUCAGGUUUGAUUCAUAGGAUCAUGCUUUGGAAUUUUCUGCUCCUUUGACAGAUGAGGCUGCUGAAUUCCAUCAAGGUGAAUCAAUUUGCCCAGACAGGUAGAAGGAAAGAGAAUAGUCAAUUAGUAUUAUUUUAAAAACUUAAAAGCUUUUCUCAUAUGGAAAAUUAAAAACAUUUACAGAAGUAGAGAGAGAUCGAUAUCAUGUAGCCAUUCUCAAACUUUUUGGUCUUAGGAAUGUUUUAUAAUUUCAAAAAAUUAUUGAGGACCUCAAGGGGCUUUUGUUUAUUUGAG